rnacentral:rRNA from 1 species
AUUGCCCGCUGGCGGCAGGCCUAACACAUGCAAGUCGAGCGAGUGGCGGACGGGUGAGUAAUGUCUGGGAAACUGCCUGAUGGAGGGGGAUAACUACUGGAAACGGUAGCUAAUACCGCAUACCAUCAGAUGUGCCCAGACGGGAUUAGCUAGUAGGUGGGGUACCGGCUCACCCAUGCGACGAGCCCUAGCUGGUCUGAGAGGAUGACCAGUCACACGUGAACUGAUACACGGUCCAGACUCCUACGGGAGGCAGCAUUGGGGAAUAUUGCACAAUGGGCGCAAGCCUGAUGCGGCCAUGCCGCGUGUGUGAAGAAGGCCUUCGGGUUGUAAAGCACUUUCAGCGGGGAGGCGUUACCCGCAGAAGAAGCACCGGCUAACUCCGUGCCAGCAGCCGCGGUAAUUC